rnacentral:rRNA from 1 species
AAGCAAGGAAACUUACAACAAAGAGUCCCUCCCGACUGUUUACCAAAAACACAGCACUCUGCUAACUCGUAAGAGGAUGUAUAGGGUGUGACGCCUGCCCGGUGCUCGAAGGUUAAUUGAUGGGGUUAGCAUUAGCGAAGCUCUUGAUCGAAGCCCGAGUAAACGGCGGCCGUAACUAUAACGGUCCUAAGGUAGCGAAAUUCCUUGUCGGUUAAAUACCGACCUGCAUGAAUGGCGUAACGAGAUGGGAGCUGUCUCAAAGAGGGAUCCAGUGAAAUUGUAGUGGAGGUGAAAAUUCCUCCUACCCGCGGCAAGACGGAAAGACCCCGUGGACCUUUACUACAGCUUGACACUGCUACUUGGAUAAGAAUGUGCAGGAUAGGUGGGAGGCUUUGAGUAUAUGACGCCAGUUGUAUAUGAGCCAUUGUUGAGAUACCACUCUUUCUUAUUUGGGUAG